GCGGCGGACGGUUUAGUAACGCGUGGGAACGUGCCCUUCACUACGGAAUAGUCCCGGGAAACUGGGUUUAAUACCGUAUACGCCCUUCGGGGGAAAGAAUUUCGGUGAAGGAUCGGCCCGCGUUAGAUUAGAUAGUUGGUGGGGUAACGGCCUACCAAGUCUACGAUCUAUAGCUGGUUUUAGAGGAUGAUCAGCAACACUGGGACUGAGACACGGCCC
rnacentral:rRNA from 1 species